rnacentral:rRNA from 1 species
AUUGAACGCUGGCGGCAGGCCUAACACAUGCAAGUCGAGCGGAUGAAGGGAGCUUGCUCCUGGAUUCAGCGGCGGACGGGUGAGUAAUGCCUAGGAAUCUGCCUGGUAGUGGGGGAUAACGUCCGGAAACGGGCGCUAAUACCGCAUACGUCCUGAGGGAGAAAGUGGGGGAUCUUCGGACCUCACGCUAUCAGAUGAGCCUAGGUCGGAUUAGCUAGUUGGUGGGGUAAAGGCCUACCAAGGCGACGAUCCGUAACUGGUCUGAGAGGAUGAUCAGUCACACUUGAACUGAGACACGGUCCAGACUCCUACGGGAGGCAGCAGUGGGGAAUAUUGGACAAUGGGCGAAAGCCUGAUCCAGCCAUGCCGCGUGUGUGAAGAAGGUCUUCGGAUUGUAAAGCACUUUAAGUUGGGAGGAAGGGCAGUAAGUUAAUACCUUGCUGUUUUGACGUUACCAACAGAAUAAGCACCGGCUAACUUCGU